rnacentral:rRNA from 1 species
GACGAACGCUGGCGGCGUGCUUAACACAUGCAAGUCGAACGGAAAGGCCCUGCUUGCAGGGUACUCGAGUGGCGAACGGGUGAGUACACGUGGGUGAUCUGCCCUGCACUUCGGGAUAAGCCUGGGAAACUGGGUCUAAUACCGGAUAGGAGCCAUUUUUAGUGUGAUGGUUGGAAAGUUUUUUCGGUGUAGGAUGAGCUCGCGGCCUAUCAGCUUGUUGGUGGGGUAAUGGCCUACCAAGGCGGCGACGGGUAGCCGGCCUGAGAGGGUGGACGGCCACAUUGGGACUGAGAUACGGCCCAGACUCCUACGGGAGGCAGCAGUGGGGAAUAUUGCACAAUGGGCGCAAGCCUGAUGCAGCGACGCCGCGGGGGGGAGGACGGCCUUCGGGUUGUAAACUCCUUUCGCUAGGGACGAAGCUUUUUGUGACGGUACCUAGAUAAGAAGCACCGGCUAACUACGUG